rnacentral:rRNA from 1 species
UACGGGGGGUGCAAGCGUUGUUCGGAAUUAUUGGGCGUAAAGAGCGUGUAGGCGGCUGGACAAGUCAGAUGUGAAAGCCCUGGGCUUAACCUAGGAAGUGCAUUUGAAACUGUCCGGCUUGAGUAGGGGAGAGGAAAGUGGAAUUCCUGGUGUAGAGGUGAAAUUCGUAGAUAUCAGGAGGAACACCGGUGGCGAAGGCGCACAUCUGGCCCGAUACUGACGCUGAGACGCGAGAGCGUGGGUAGCAAACAGG